rnacentral:rRNA from 1 species
CCUACGGGAGGCAGCAGUGGGGAAUAUUGGGCAAUGGGCGCAAGCCUGACCCAGCAACGCCGCGUGAAGGAAGAAGGCUUUCGGGUUGUAAACUUCUUUUCUCAGGGACGAAGAAAGUGACGGUACUUGAGGAAUAAGCCACGGCUAACUCCGUGCCAGCAGCCGCGGUAAUAAGUAGGGGGCAAGCGUUAUACGGAGUUAUUGGGUGUAAAGGGCGGGGAGGCGGGAGGGCAAGUCAGAUGUGAAAACUCAGGGCUCAACCCUGGGCCUGCAUUUGAAACUGUGUUUCUUGAGUGCUGGAGAGGCAAGCGGAAUUCCAGGUGUAGCGGUGAAAUGCGUAGAUAUACGGAGGAACACCAGUGGCGAAGGCGGAUUGCUGGACAGUAACUGACGCUGAGGCGCGAAAGCGUGGGGAGCAAACAGGAUUAGAUACCCUUGUAGUC